AGUGAACGCUGGCGGUAGGCCUAACACAUGCAAGUCGAACGGCAGCACAGUAAGAGCUUGCUCUUACGGGUGGCGAGUGGCGGACGGGUGAGGAAUACAUCGGAAUCUACUUUUUCGUGGGGGAUAACGUAGGGAAACUUACGCUAAUACCUCAUACGACCUACGGGUGAAAGCAGGGGAUCUUCGCACCUUGCGCGAUUGAAUUAGCCGAUGUCGGAUUAGCUAGUUGGCGGGGUAAAGGCCCACCAAGGCGACGAUCCGUAGCUGGUCUGAGAGGAUGAUCAGCCACACUGGAACUGAGACACGGUCCAGACUCCUACGGGAGGCAGCAGUGGGGAAUAUUGGACAAUGGGCGCAAGCCUGAUCCAGCCAUACCGCGUGGGUGAAGAAGGCCUUCGGGUUGUAAAGCCCUUUUGUUGGGAAAGAAAAGCAGCAGGUUAAUACCCCGCUGUUCUGACGGUACCCAAAGAAUAAGCACCGGCUAACUUCGUG
rnacentral:rRNA from 1 species